GCACCUCCUUCCUCUCUCUUCUCAUUCUUGCAAAGCUUCCAGAGAAUUGACACUGAGAAUUUUGAUGCCAAUUCUGAUGCUAAAAUCUUCUGAAACAACACAGGAAUGAUUAGAGCAUUCUCAUACGCCUUUUCUCUCCCUUCUUUGGAGUCACAAACAUGGUCCAAAACGCCCAAAGCCUUUUCACAUAUGCUUUUAUCUCCAUCAAC
rnacentral:misc_RNA from 1 species